CAUUCUGCCUCGCUCUUCUGGGUGUUGGUCUGUAUUUGCUUGCGACUUGGCUGUGUCGCAUCAACGAUUCGCAUGUUUCAUUUAGCUCAUCCCUUUCCAUCGUUGGAGAGAAACUCUUGCGUCUCGCUUUUCUGGGACUUGUCCAAAUUCGCUUGCUACACCAAUCGUUCACGCAAGCGUUCUCCUCUCGCCCGCUCUUUGUAUCAUUGUACAGGUACUCCCCGAUAUACGCUAUCAAUGCGUACCGGAGGCAAUAGCGUAUCUCGAAUAUUCAAUAGCGAAAGUCGAAUUUCGAGGUUUUCAGUCAAAUUAUAACUAAUAUCCGUAUAACUUUGCAUGAAGUGGUAGGUUUUAGCCACUAAAUUAGUUAUUUGAUCUAAUUUCAACUGAAUUUUUCAAUUUUAUACCAUUUGAAAUGGUUUUUAAUAUUCAACCAAAGGGAAUUUAUUUUGCAUUUGACAUUCGAUUUAUAAAAUUAGUACUACUUGUUCAAAGAACCGUCAAAUUUAGAAAAAAAGCGUAUAGCGAAAUCGUGUAUAUCGAGUAUGGCGUAUAUCGGGGAAUACCUGUAUAGCCACACGAGGAAGGCGCUGCUUCGCGUUCACAUGAAAAUGUGAUAGUGUGAAAUCAAGUUUGCAAGCGGUAGGACGCGUCGGUGUGUGUCCGUUUUUUCUCUCGUGAAACCAGUACGGAAAAACUAUUUGGUAAGUACAGUUUUUAAUAAAGGGUUAUAUCAAUCUUUAUCAAACUGAUUUGUAUUGAUAAUUGUGAUAUAAAAUCAAUUUCGUUUUUUUUAAAGAAAUCGUAACACACGCAUGAACGGAAGUGAGCACGGACCACAACAGAAGCAAUAUUCAAUUGGUUGGAGUGCCGAAAACAGAACAGGAGAGGAAAGAAGGCAGGACCGAUCCGAUCCUCCAACGUGCUAGCGCCUGGUAGAGGAGAGGCGGCAGGAAGGUAGAGACGAACAUCCACCUCGCUAGUGCAGCACGUAGGAGCAGCAAGAGGGAAGCAAGCAGGACGCGUACACACCAUUCGACGAAGGCAAAGCUGGAGGAAAGGAAGAACGAGGAGAGAAGGCAGGCAAGACGGGUACGUGUGUAUCCCGCACCGGUUUUAGGCAGUGUGAAUUGUGUGAGUAUGUUAAUAUGUAUGUGCGAGUAAGAAGGUAAAAUAAAGAGCGUAAGCAUGUGCAGAAUGGACAAAAGAGAGUAAGAGUCUUUGUAGGGAGAAUGGAGAGAAUGAAAGAAAUUGAACAAUAAUGUAGCAUACAUAAACCAAAUGUAUGAUACACGCUGUCGCACCGUUGCAGAGACGUGCUCUUUAGUGCUGCUAAUGAGCACGAUUUGAGAACGUUUUGAGCCCGUUUUUUCUCAUACAAAAUUUCAAAAUGUCGCGCGA